rnacentral:rRNA from 1 species
UACGGGGGGAGCAAGCGUUGUUCGGAUUUACUGGGCGUAAAGGGCACGUAGGCGGGCUGUCAAGUCUGGGGUGAAAUCCCGCGGCUCAACCGUGGAACUGCCUCAGAUACUGACGGUCUCGAGGGAGGUAGGGGCGAGCGGAACUGAUGGUGGAGCGGGUGAAAUGCGUUGAUAUCAUCAGGAACUCCGGUGGCGAAGGCGGCUCGCUGGACCUCUUCUGACGCUGAGGCGCGAAAGCCAGGGGAGCAAACGGGG